rnacentral:rRNA from 1 species
GACGAACGCUGGCGGCGUGCUUAACACAUGCAAGUCGAACGGAAAGGCCCUGCUUUUGUGGGGUGCUCGAGUGGCGAACGGGUGAGUAACACGUGAGUAACCUGCCCUUGACUUUGGGAUAACUUCAGGAAACUGGGGCUAAUACCGGAUAGGAGCUCCUGCUGCAUGGUGGGGGUUGGAAAGUUUCGGCGGUUGGGGAUGGACUCGCGGCUUAUCAGCUUGUUGGUGGGGUAGUGGCUUACCAAGGCUUUGACGGGUAGCCGGCCUGGGAGGGUGACCGGCCACAUGGGGGAGGGGAGGGGGCCGGAGCGCAUCCGGGGGAAGGAGGGGGGGAAUGUUGGAGAGGGGGCGGGGGAGGGAAGAAGGACCGCGGGGGGGGGGAGGGGGGCGUUGGGGUUGAAAACGGGUUUGGCGAGGAAAGAGGCGGGGGGAGGGGAACGGGUGAAGAAGGCCCGGCUAAAAACGUG